rnacentral:rRNA from 1 species
CACUCCUACGGGAGGCAGCAGUGGGGAAUAUUGGACAAUGGGCGCAAGCCUGAUCCAGCCAUGCCGCGUGAGUGAUGAAGGCCCUAGGGUUGUAAAGCUCUUUCACCGGUGAAGAUAAUGACGGUAACCGGAGAAGAAGCCCCGGCUAACUUCGUGCCAGCAGCCGCGGUAAUACGAAGGGGGCUAGCGUUGUUCGGAUUUACUGGGCGUAAAGCGCACGUAGGCGGACUAUUAAGUCAGGGGUGAAAUCCCGGGGCUCAACCCCGGAACUGCCUUUGAUACUGGUAGUCUUGAGUUCGAGAGAGGUGAGUGGAAUUCCGAGUGUAGAGGUGAAAUUCGUAGAUAUCCGGAGGAACACCAGUGGCGAAGGCGGCUCACUGGCUCGAUACUGACGCUGAGGUGCGAAAGCGUGGGGAGCAAACAGGAUUAGAUCCCCGUGUAGUCCCAUGAU